rnacentral:rRNA from 1 species
CCUACGGGGGGCAGCAGUGGGGAAUAUUGGACAAUGGGCGAAAGCCUGAUCCAGCCAUGCCGCGUGUGUGAAGAAGGCCUUCGGGUUGUAAAGCACUUUCAGUGGGGAAGAAAGCCUUGGGGCUAAUACCCUCGAGGAAGGACAUCACCCACAGAAGAAGCACCGGCUAACUCCGUGCCAGCAGCCGCGGUAAUACGGAAGGUGCGAGCGUUAAUCGGAAUUACUGGGCGUAAAGCGCGCGUAGGCGGUCUGAUAAGCCGGUUGUGAAAGCCCCGGGCUCAACCUGGGAACGGCAUCCGGAACUGUCAGGAUAGAGUGCAGGAGAGGAAGGUAGAAUUCCCGGUGUAGCGGUGAAAUGCGUAGAGAUCGGGAGGAAUACCAGUGGCGAAGGCGGCCUUCUGGACUGACACUGACGCUGAGGUGCGAAAGCGUGGGUAGCAAACAGGAUUAGAUACCCCAGUAGUC